AUGACUUCAUUGUUGCUGGACAGCAUGGACUGCCUGUUGAUGGUGCUGGAAUUGGAAUAGGAGAAAUCAGUGCUCCAGCUAGAUCUUUGUGGGCAGCUUUUAUUGAGUGUCCUCUAUUCAAGGAGGAAGUUGCUGUGGUGGUAAAGAAAUUGAACAUCAACAAAUGGGCCUCGACCACAGGUGGCGAAAACCUUUAAACUUACUCGCUUUAAGGCAGCUAGUGCCGUAAAAAGGAGGUAUGGCUUCACUUCUCCCGACGCUGCUGUCCUCC